GAUAUGGCUCAGGAUGAACGCUAGCUACAGGCUUAACACAUGCAAGUCGAGGGGCAUCGGGAAGAAAGCUUGCUUUCUUUGCCGGCGACCGGCGCACGGGUGAGUAACACGUAUCCAACCUGCCCUUUACUCGGGGAUAGCCUUUCGAAAGAAAGAUUAAUACCCGAUGGCAUAAUGAUUCCGCAUGGUUUCAUUAUUAAAGGAUUCCGGUAAAGGAUGGGGAUGCGUUCCAUUAGGUUGUUGGUGAGGUAACGG
rnacentral:rRNA from 1 species